GCCCCCAUAGCUUAAUGGUAAAGCAGCAGACUUUUAAUCUGUUGAUUCAGGCUCGAUUCCUGAUGGGGGCACAA
rnacentral:tRNA from 1 species